rnacentral:snRNA from 1 species
GGAUGUAAGGGCGAUCUGGCUGCAACAUCUGACACCCCAUUGAUCGCCAGGGUUGAUUCGUCUGAUCUGGCUGACUGGCGAUUGGUCCUUCCACCCUCACGCACCGUAUGCGACCCUCAGGAAGCGCUCGGUGGAAGAGGACGACCACCCCCAUAGAGGAGGACGGUUUCCUCGGUCAAGGGUAUAGGAGUAGCUGUGCUUCCCUGUUAGAACCUCCAAACAGGCUUUCAAAGUCCAAAUCUACUUUUUCCACAAAAGACGGAAACAGUAAGAGAGAACUCAGGAGAUUAAGAAAUCUCUACAAAAAUGAAGCCCUCAUUCAUCU